AUAUUUAAUGUUAGUGGAUCAUAUCCGGCUCAUAUUCGAUGGAUCAUAAACUACCCGUUAAAAAAUGGAAAAUACGAUACUGGAUCAUAUUCGGUUCAUAUCCGAAUCUCAAAUAUCCUGGAUCGGUUUAUAUCCGAAUAAAACGAUCCUGAACCCAAAUCUGGACAAGCUAAAAGUUAUAUGAUCCGGUACUCGAGCAGAGGGGUACCCGGGAUCACCCGGAUCAUUUUACAGCCCUAAUUAGACAUUAAUGUCAGUAUUUAUUAGACAUUAAUGUCUAAUCAUUGUAAAUUAAUUCGAUAUGACUAAUAUACCCUUAGCUUAAUACACAUAUUUUAAUAUAUAUAAAGGUUAUUAUUGACUUUUAAUACUAGCGCAUUUAUUAUACAUUAAUGUAUAAGCAAUGUAUUUAUUAUACAUUAAUGUCUAAGCAUUUAUAUACAUUAAUUAUAACAUGAUCAUUAUUUGAAAUUAUUUUAAUAUUAUACAUAUAAAUAAUAUAUAUCUAAUCAUUUUUAAAAUUUAAAAUUUUCCCCACAAAUUUUGUAAAUUUUAAUAUUCUACCUGAUUUUUGACUGAUUAAUCCAAUUUUGACCAAUUAAUCAUCGAUUUAAUCGAAUUUUACCAAAUUGUAUUAAAAAUUCGUUUGUUAUCGAUUAUUCGGUUAAUCGGCUGAUGUGCUAGAAUUAAUACAUUUAAAUCGAUCGCAAGCGCACAAUCUCGUUAUAGAAAUUUAUGAUUCGUCCACAGAGAUUAAAAUUAUUUUCGCAACCUAUUAAUCUUUAACCUAGGCGAAUUAGAACAAUAUGGAAUUGUGAGAAGGGUUAUCUAAUUAAAUCACUAAUCACUAGAGAAUUAGAUUUGAUUAAAAAGAAACUAACUUUGUUUAUAUAAAAAUGAAAGUUGGAAAGCUCGGGCAUGAUUCAUUUAUUAAUCUACCUGGCCAGUUCAACAUAUUACUUAAGUUACCUAUCAAAACUUCUUAACCGAUUAACAAAGAAAGUCCGAAACAAUGGCAACAGAUAAAUAAACAGGCAGGACUCGAAUUUAGUUAAAAACGUGAAGGAAACAAACAAUAUUAAUAACUCAGCAGAAUAAACGAACAUGAACAGGGCAUGACAACUACUAAACGACUCAGUUUUAAAACACAGUGCGAACUCAACAGAAAAUCAGACUAAAACAAGACUCAAAUGAACGCUAAAAACUCAGCCAAAACUCGAAAACAGGACUCGACCCAGCCAAAACAAAUUGAACACAGCCACAUGAAAUCAGAACCACGACUACAGAACUCAGAAAACAAAACCCAGACUCAACAAAGGACUCAGAAACUCGAUACAGAAUCCCACUCGCUAACAGGACUCGACGACGCAGAGCAGUAAAGGACUCGGCUAAAACUUAAACUACAAACUCAGGCUAGCAACAGGAAUCAACAAAAACAGCCUAACUCAGUUAUAACAGGUGUGAAAACCAUUCCGCAAGCAAAACAAUGACUAAGUAAAUGACUCGAAAACAGGGGUGGCGACUCGGUACAAACCCAGGACGAAACCCGGAACUCGGUAAAAUCAACAGACUCGGUAAAAAGAAAACAAGAACAACCCACAGCAACACAAUAGAACUAAAACCAAAACAAACCCAUCAGCUAGAUUAGAACUCAGAACUACAGUCAUCAAAAAUGCAAGUCAGCAACUCGGUGAUUCAAAAAAAACAGGGGAAUGACUCAGCAGUUACAAACUCAGCUGGCUGCGACUCGGAAACCCACGCCCUAGACUCGGACAAACUCAAACUUAAAACUCAGCUAAUCAGUGAUUAAACUCGACGAAACAGAAAAAGAAACCAGGAACUUAAACAAAAACCAGCAACAGAAAACCGGCAGCAAGAAUCAACACACUACAAAAGCGAUACUAAACCCAGCAAACACAACUUUAAUCAAAGAAGGCCACGACUUGAUGUGAGGGACAAAAGAACGGUGAUGAGAUUUUGUUUAAUUAAAAAGAAACAGGGGAUGGGGGUUUUGAAUUAAACAUAUGGAAAACAGGGGACAUUUUUGUUUUGUUUAAUAAACGGCAAUAACAAGAGAUUAAAAACUGGGUUUGUGUGUUUUUAGGAAGCUGUUAAAAUUGUUUAUUAAACUACAAAUUUCUCACUCGAAUAUAUAUAUUAAAACUAUGGCUGCUGAGAUUUUAAAUGAUAUAGUCUUGCACUCUAAAAAGUUAAACCCCCACACAAAUGAUCUUUUGUGCUAGAGCUUUCACUUUCUUCUUAAAAAUUAAAACUAAAAAUUAAGAGAUCUACACUAAUCACAAGUUUAAUGAUUCUUCAUUUCCCAAAAGCUUAAAAGCAUGUGGUGGUACUUAGAAGAGUCAUUCAACUUGGAGAACAUAAAUUAAAAAGACAAUACAAGAUGAAGCUAAAAGAGAUUUGCAUAGAAAUUAAAAAGUGUAUACAAGCUUGGAAAGGAAAUUGGGGCUAGCAAAAUGUAAAUCUAUCUAAGAUACUAACUAUAGAAAUGACUAGGUAGAAAAGGUGAGUAGGUGGCUAGGGUUACUAGGUUGCUAGGUUGGUGAUUACAAGUAAAAGAAGAGGGGUAUUUAUAACUAAAGAAUUAGGGUUUAGGGGUAGGGUGGCUCCAUCUUGACCAUCCAUGUGC
rnacentral:lncRNA from 1 species